UUUUUUUCAAAAUCACCCCCCCCCCUCCCUCAAAAGUUAAAUGGUCGGCCCGAAACGGCAAUCAAUUUUCUGGGAGUCACGUGACCAGCGGUUACCAGCCUCAAGAAUCGCCUAAAGCCCCGUUUACACGAGCAAAUUUUCUUUGACAAAUGCAUUUGAUCAAAAUGGCUUUGGAGUUUGGACGUCUGAUGUCAUUUUAUUUAGACAGUUUAAAGUACACUUCAAUACGUACGCGUAAUGUGGAUUUGGAUCGAUAAAGUCAAAAAAA